AUUGAACGCUGGCGGCAUGCCUUACACAUGCAAGUCGAACGGUAACAGGUCUUCGGAUGCUGACGAGUGGCGAACGGGUGCGUAAUACAUCGGAACGUGCCCAGACGUGGGGGAUAACGAGGCGAAAGCUUUGCUAAUACCGCAUACGAUCUAAGGAUGAAAGCAGGGGACCGCAAGGCCUUGUGCGUUUGGAGCGGCCGAUGGCAGAUUAGGUAGUUGGUGGGAUAAAAGCUUACCAAGCCGACGAUCUGUAGCUGGUCUGAGAGGACGACCAGCCACACUGAGACUGAGACACGGCCCAGACUCCUACGGGAGGCAGCAGUGGGGAAUUUUGGACAAUGGGCGAAAGCCUGAUCCAGCAAUGCCGCGUGCAGGAUGAAGGCCUUCGGGUUGUAAACUGCUUUUGUACGGAACGAAAAGGCUCUGGCUAAUACCUGGGGCACAUGACGGUACCGUAAGAAUAAGCACCGGCUAACUACGUG
rnacentral:rRNA from 1 species